rnacentral:rRNA from 13 species
AAGCGCAUACGGUGGAUGCCUUGGCAGUCAGAGGCGAUGAAAGACGUGGUAGCCUGCGAAAAGCUUCGGGGAGUCGGCAAACAGACUUUGAUCCGGAGAUGUCUGAAUGGGGGAACCCAGCCAUCAUAAGAUGGUUAUCUUGUACUGAAUACAUAGGUGCAAGAGGCGAACCAGGGGAACUGAAACAUCUAAGUACCCUGAGGAAAAGAAAUCAACCGAGAUUCCCUUAGUAGUGGCGAGCGAACGGGGACUAGCCCUUAAGUGGCUUUGAGAUUAGCGGAACGCUCUGGAAAGUGCGGCCAUAGUGGGUGAUAGCCCUGUACGCGAAAAUCUCUUGGUCAUGAAAUCGAGUAGGACGGAGCACGAGAAACUUUGUCUGAAUAUGGGGGGACCAUCCUCCAAGGCUAAAUACUCGAUAUCGACCGAUAGUGAACCAGUACCGUGAGGGAAAGGCGAAAAGAACCCCGGAAGGGGAGUGAAAUAGAACCUGAAACCGUGUGCAUACAAACAGUAGGAGCGGACUUGUUCCGUGACUGCGUACCUUUUGUAUAAUGGGUCAGCGACUUACAUUCAGUGGCGAGGUUAACCGUAUAGGGAAGCCGUAGAGAAAUCGAGUCCGAAUAGGGCGACAGUCGCUGGGUGUAGACCCGAAACCAAGUGAUCUACUCAUGGCCAGGAUGAAGGUGCCGUAACAGGUACUGGAGGUCCGAACCCACUAAUGUUGAAAAAUUAGGGGAUGAGCUGUGGGUAGGGGUGAAAGGCUAAACAAACUUGGAAAUAGCUGGUUCUCUCCGAAAACUAUUUAGGUAGUGCCUCAAGUAUCACCAACGGGGGUAGAGCACUGUUAUGGCUAGGGGGUCAUCGCGACUUACCAAACCAUUGCAAACUCCGAAUACCGUUGAGUGCGAGCUUGGGAGACAGACAUCGGGUGCUAACGUCCGGUGUCAAGAGGGAAACAACCCAGACCGCCAGCUAAGGUCCCAAAGUAUAGCUAAGUGGAAAACGAAGUGGGAAGGCUAAAACAGUCAGGAGGUUGGCUUAGAAGCAGCC